rnacentral:rRNA from 1 species
UACGUAGGGGGCUAGCGUUGUCCGGAAUCAUUGGGCGUAAAGCGCGCGUAGGCGGCCCGGUAAGUCCGUUGUAAAAGUCAAAGGCUCAACCUUUGAAUGUCAGUGGAUACUGCCGGGCUAGAGUCCGGAAGAGGCGAGUGGAAUUCCUGGUGUAGCGGUGGAAUGCGCAGAUAUCAGGAGGAACACCAACGGCGAAGGCAGCUCGCUAGGACGGUACUGACGCUGAGGCGCGAAAGCGUGGGGAGCGAACAGG